AUGAGGGGCUCUGCAAGUGCACCACAGCUUGGCCCACACUGCACUCUCCUCUCAGUUUUGCCCAUGCAGGCUCCCGCACCUCCUGAAAUUAAUUCACAAAUCUCCCCUCCCUGCCUCCAAGCAACACAAUUGAGUCCUGAUGCUCUGAGGGACAGUCCUGUCGUCUCCCUGAGCGAACCAGUCACACAGCCAGCCUCUCUAGAUACAGAUAAGCCUGUUGCUACUUCCUUGUCUGAUGUCCCAAAGGCCAUGGGGUCUGGGAAACUGGAACAGCUCCGGCCCCAGGAGCCAGCCCCUGCCAGUGGUGAGAAGACCAGGCUGAGUGAGGACCCCAGGGGCAAGAAGAGCCUGAGCAUGCUUCAUUACAUCCGGGGCACUGCACCCAAGGACAUUCCUGUGCCGUUGUCCCACAGCGUCAACUGGAAGGGCAAACUGUGGGAGCCCUUCAUGGUGGAAGAAUUUGCACAUCAGUUCCACGAGUCAGUGUUGCAGUCCACCCAGAAGACCCUACGGAAGCAUAAAGGUAGCAUGGCUGUGCUGUCCUCAGAGCAGAACCACAAGGUUGACACAUCCGUCCAUUACAAUAUUCCUGAGCUGCAGUCCUCCAGCCGUGUCUCUCUACACCACCACAACGGGCAGCAAGAGCCCCCCCCACAACAAGGAAGGGGUCCUCCACCCAGGAGAUGGACCAGGACUCAGAAGAUGACUUUGAGGACGAUGACAGAGAAGAGGAUGAAGAUGCCCCCUGGCACGAGUGGCAAGGGAUUGAGGCAGUUUUUGAAGCCUACCACGAACGUAUAGAAGAGCAAACUCUGGAGCGGCAGGUGUUGCAGAUGCAGUGCAGACAGCUGGAGGCUCGGCACUGCAGCCUCAGCCUAACGGCUGAGCAGCUCUCCCUCAGCGUGGCAGAGUUGAGGAGCCAGAAGAUGGACAAACAGAAGAUUGUCUCAGAACCCGAGCGGCUCCAGGCAGAACUGGACCACUUACGGAAGUGCCUUGCCUUGCCUGCAAUGCAUUGGCCUAGGGGCUACUUUAAGGGAUAUCCCAAGGGACGGUUUCCCUUGCACUAGGCUGAACCUAUAGUAUAGAAAUAUUAUCUAUUUUAUUACCUUGAAUAUUUAAUAUUUUUCACUGGGAGGUUUGAAGCUUAAAAACUAAGAAUGUGCCAUGCAUGAAGCAAAGGAUUCCAGGCUCCAGAAAAGAAGAACGGACUCACCUUGACUUCAGUGCAGUUGAAUCCCCUGUGGUGUUCAGCGAGCAACCAACGUAGGAUACCCACAGUUUUUCUUUCUAAAGAUGGUUUUACUCUUUCCCCCACGUCAUUAUUUUUUAAUCUGAAAGUGAAAGCUCCAUCACCAACACUAAAACAUUAUCAUUUACAGCCCCCCCAUGCACAAGAUCGGAUCAGACUGGUCCUUUUCUGUCUCUAGAGUUGCCAUGUCAUUGCGCCCCAACAGUGAAGUUAGCUGUUGCUGCAGUGAUGGGGUGGGGUCCAUUCCUCCCCAGGAAUGAGACUUGCUUCUGCUGAAAAGGUUGAGUGUAUUGUAAAUAAAAGGGCUUAUUUGUUUGUUACUUUUCUGCAAAAUUUUCUUCAAAGCAAUAGGUCCUAGGAGCACACAAAGCAACACCCCAAAGGCUUUUCCCUAGAAAAGCUCUCACUUAAAUGAGUCCACAACCUGAAGGUACCUUUUUACUACUCCGUGGGGGAGAAUGUACAGAGCUCUGUGUGUACACACAUUCACACCCACCAAAUUGUUACAAGGGUGGGUGGUGUUUUCAUACAAACGUAAAUUUUGAGAGAAAAGUCAAAGGUGCUUCAGCCUUGUACUGUGUAUAUAUAUUAAAAAAA